rnacentral:rRNA from 1 species
AUCUGCGACUAAAUGACCCUGAAUAUGCCCGAUCUCGUCAGAUCUCAGAAGCUAAGCAGGCUUUUACGCCUGGCUAAUACUUGUAUAGGCGACCGCCUGGGAAUGACAAGCGCUGUAGGUU